rnacentral:rRNA from 1 species
CGGUGACACUCCUACGGGAGGCAGCAGUGGGGAAUAUUGCACAAUGGGGGAAACCCUGAUGCAGCCAUGCCGCGUGUGUGAAGAAGGCCUUCGGGUUGUAAAGCACUUUCAGUAGGGAGGAAGGUAGUGUAGUUAACACCUGCAUUAUUUGACGUUACCUACAGAAGAAGCACCGGCUAACUCCGUGCCAGCAGCCGCGGUAAUACGGAGGGUGCGAGCGUUAAUCGGAAUUACUGGGCGUAAAGCGCAUGCAGGCGGCCUGUUAAGUCAGAUGUGAAAGCCCGGGGCUUAACCUCGGAAUUGCAUUUGAAACUGGCAGGCUAGAGUCUUGUAGAGGGGGUAGAAUUUCAGGUGUAGCGGUGAAAUGCGUAGAGAUCUGAAGGAAUACCAGUGGCGAAGGCGGCCCCCUGGACAAAGACUGACGCUCAGAUGCGAAAGCGUGGGGAGCAAACAGGAUUAGAUACCCUGGUAG